rnacentral:rRNA from 1 species
GACGAACGCUGGCGGCGUGCUUAACACAUGCAAGUCGAACGGAAAGGCCCUGCUUUUGUUGGGUGCUCGAGUGGCGAACGGGUGAGUAACACGUGAGUAACCUGCCCUUGACUUUGGGAUAACUUCAGGAAACUGGGGCUAAUACCGGAUAGGAGCUCCUGCUGCAUGGUGGGGGUUGGAAAGUUUCGGCGGUUGGGGAUGGACUCGCGGCUUAUCAGCUUGUUGGUGGGGUAGUGGCUUACCAAGGCUUUGACGGGUAGCCGGCCUGAGAGGGUGACCGGCCACAUUGGGACUGCGAUACGGCCCAGACUCCUACGGGAGGCAGCAGUGGGGAAUAUUGCACAAUGGGCGGAAGCCUGAUGCAGCAACGCCGCGUGCGGGAUGACGGCCUUCGGGUUGUAAACCGCUUUCGCCUGUGACGAAGCGUGAGUGACGGUAAUGGGUAAAGAAGCACCGGCUAACUACGUG